AACGAACGCUGGCGGCAGGCCUAACACAUGCAAGUCGAACGGACCCUUCGGGGUUAGUGGCGCACGGGUGAGUAACGCGUGGGAACGUGCCCUUAGGUACGGAACAACAGUUGGAAACGACUGCUAAUACCGUAUGAUGACGUAAGUCCAAAGAUUUAUCGCCUAAGGAUCGGCCCGCGCUAGAUUAGAUAGUUGGUGAGGUAAUGGCUCACCAAGUCUACCAUCUAUAGCUGGUCUCAGAGGAUGAUCAGCCACACUGGAACUGAGACACGGUCCAGACUCCUACGGGAGGCAGCAGUGAGGAAUAUUGGACAAUGGGCGAAAGCCUGAUCCAGCCAUGCCGCGUGAAUGAUGAAGGCCUUAGGGUUGUAAAGUUCUUUUAGUAGUGAAGAUGAUGACGGUAACUACAGAAAAAGCUCCGGCUAACUUCGUGCCAGCAGCCGCAGUAA
rnacentral:rRNA from 1 species